rnacentral:rRNA from 1 species
AGUGAACGCUGGCGGUAGGCCUAACACAUGCAAGUCGAACGGCAGCACAGUAAGAGCUUGCUCUUACGGGUGGCGAGUGGCGGACGGGUGAGGAAUACAUCGGAAUCUACUUUUUCGUGGGGGAUAACGUAGGGAAACUUACGCUAAUACCGCAUACGACCUACGGGUGAAAGCAGGGGAUCUUCGGACCUUGCGCGAUUGAAUGAGCCGAUGUCGGAUUAGCUAGUUGGCGGGGUAAAGGCCCACCAAGGCGACGAUCCGUAGCUGGUCUGAGAGGAUGAUCAGCCACACUGGAACUGAGACACGGUCCAGACUCCUAAGGGAGGCAGCAGUGGGGAAUAUUGGACAAUGGGCGCAAGCCUGAUCCAGCCAUACCGCGUGGGUGAAGAAGGCCUUCGGGUUGUAAAGCCCUCUUGUUGGGAAAGAAAAGCAGCAGGUUAAUACCCCGCUGUUCUGACGGUACCCAAAGAAUAAGCACCGGCUAACUUCGUG